rnacentral:rRNA from 1 species
CAGUAGCCGCGGUAAUACGGAGGGAGCUAGCGUUAUUCGGAAUUACUGGGCGUAAAGCGCACGUAGGCGGCUUUGUAAGUAAGAGGUGAAAGCCCGGAGCUCAACUCCGGAACUGCCUUUUAGACUGCAUCGCUUGAAUCCAGGAGAGGUGAGUGGAAUUCCGAGUGUAGAGGUGAAAUUCGUAGAUAUUCGGAAGAACACCAGUGGCGAAGGCGGCUCACUGGACUGGUAUUGACGCUGAGGUGCGAAAGCGUGGGGAGCAAACAAGAUUAGAUACCCCCGUAGUCCCUGUCUCUUAUAC